rnacentral:rRNA from 1 species
AGCAGAGAUGCUUUGGUGCCUUCGGGAACUCUGAGACAGGUGCUGCAUGGCUGUCGUCAGCUCGUGUUGUGAAAUGUUGGGUUAAGUCCCGCAACGAGCGCAACCCUUAUCCUUUGUUGCCAGCGGUCCGGCCGGGAACUCAAAGGAGACUGCCAGUGAUAAACUGGAGGAAGGUGGGGAUGACGUCAAGUCAUCAUGGCCCUUACGAGUAGGGCUACACACGUGCUACAAUGGCAUAUACAAAGAGAAGCGACCUCGCGAGAGCAAGCGGACCUCAUAAAGUAUGUCGUAGUCCGGAUUGGAGUCUGCAACUCGACUCCAUGAAGUCGGAAUCGCUAGUAAUCGUGGAUCAGAAUGCCACGGUGAAUACGUUCCCGGGCCUUGUACACACCGCCCGUCACACCAUGGGAGUGGGUUGCAAAAGAAGUAGGUAGCUUAACCUUCGGGAGGGCGCUUACCACUUUGUGAUUCAUGACUGGGGUGAAGUCGUAACAAGGUAACCGUAGGGGAACCUGCGGUUGGAUCACCUCCUUA